CUCUUUAAUGUGUUCAUCUAAGGAACAGAAGCUGAUUUCUGCUGCUAUCAGAACACAUGCUGGACUUGUUUACAUACAGGCUGAGUUUAGCACAAUCAGAGGGGCUUAAUGGAUUUAUACAUAUACUUUGAAGAAUGUUGAUAACCAAACAGUUUCGGAUCGCUUUGCACCACACAAUGAAUAUCAGUGGGAAAUUCUUCGAAAUAUCUUCUUUUGUGUUCCACAGAAGAAAUUCAUACAGGUUUUCAACUACAUGAGGUAGACAUCAGGUACUCAGGAGACAAACCCUGGCAGUUUAACCCAGCUGUGGCCAGGACGCUUCCGCUAAUUAAUGAAGCUCAACAACUACAAACACAACACAUUGUAGUGUUUCUAUUAGACAUUUCCUGUCUUUUUUUUUUACCACUUAAAUAUGUGAUGCACAAUUAAAAAUCCAUGCUGGACUGUAUAAUUUCACUGUUUUCCAUUUUGACAAAUUAACCAGCAUACAAAUUAUUCCCAUCCUCCCUGGCUUUACUAAAAGGAAUCCACUGGCAGGAAUGCACCUUUUGACUGUUAAACUGGCAUAUGGAUUGUUUUACAAUAAAAUAUGGGACAUGUUAUUGUCAUAAAUGUAAUAAAGCCUGAAAGUCAUAUCUUGAGCUUUAUCCUGCUGAUGUGCAGCUCUGUGGUAUUUCCCCCCAUGGUUCCAUAGUGAAAUCCCUGUCCUGCUGAGAUACAUAUGAUUAUAUUAGCCUCUUACUCCCAGUGCAGGAAGAAAAACCUGCCACAGUUUGGCAAAGGUACAGAUAUCGCUCCGCUUGUAUUUUUCAGCACACCUCAGCAAUUUGCUGGCUAAAGCUGUUGUAAAAGUUGUUUUUGUGUAGUGUUUUCCUUUUUUUUUUAUUUUUUAUU
ensembl:lncRNA